GGAGCAGCUGUUCCUCCCGCCUCCGGCUUCAUUGAUUGGAUCAUGUAUAUUUUCCACCCCCAUAACAUUGUCUCCUUGUCUGUGAAUUCCAGGACUUCGAGGGAAAUUAAUGUGGACUAAGCUACAGCAAAGUGGUUAAGCAAGCUACUUUAUUAAUGUAUCAUUUUUUGCUGUGAUGUAUUAAGCACUGUCUUUCUUUAUUCAGGGAGUUAACAUACUGUUGCUGGCUUAUAACAAGUUCUGUUCUUAGCCUUCUGUGAAUCACUUUGCCUUUGUAGAGCAAUUCAAAGCCUCUCAUGUAGUUAAAAAUAAGAAAAAAAUAGGUGGUCUACUUACCCAUUAAGAAGCUGACAGCUUGAUGUGUUAACUUCCAGCAGUAUAGAGGCUGUUUAGCCUCCAUACAGGCCUCUAGAGAGGCUUACCAGCUAAAAUAUAACCACAUGUUAUUACAUCAAUACUAAUCAUAUAAGGAGAUGAGUCCUUCUGCUUGAGUUAAAAAAUGACUUGGGUGAAAGUUGUGAAUCUUUGUGUCCUUCACUGUUUUCUAUACCACCAUUGUACCCUUUCACAGCCAUCAUCUAUCAACGACACCUGAGAUUUUCUGUUUCUUCGUAUGUGCAGUAUUUUGCACUUAUUUUUACUGUUAAUAUCCAAACACACUAUUUCUGCUCCUCUUCUACCUCAGUGCCAUUUGAAGGUUACCUCUGCAAACUGGUAGGUAAAUACUUUCUGUGCUAAAAAUGGUCCUGUGAUGAAUUUUUUCUGUAGUUAUAAUUACAACAGGCAUUCAGCAAGUUAAUCAGCUCAGCUACAUAACUGCAUAAUACAAGUGUGGCAUUUAAAAUUCUGAGGUUAAAACUGAGUUCUUUGCAUGCCAUGAUUUCUUGCAAAGACAAUACUGAAAAGCAUGAAGCAACGCUCCCCACCUCUUCACAGUCCCCAUUUUAUUGUUUGCUGGUUUAAUCUUCUAAAGUUUCAGCUAGUUUAAUAUCUACAAGGUCACUUUUUAGUGAUGAAGUGAAAUAAAGUGCUUUUAUUACAGCAGUAAUUGGCGAUAUUAGACAUACUCCAAACCUGAGGAAGAAUGUUUGAACGGUACCGGUUUGGCUGGGGUAGACUUACAGGCCAGCCAUGGGCUGCAGGCUGUUGGCAGUUUGAAGUCAUCCAUGAGCUUCAGCUGGGAGGGGCAAAAGCCAAGGCAGCUGACCCAAGCUGGCUACAGGUGUCUCCUAUUGCACAACCGUGCUCCCUAUAGACCAGGAAGUGUGGUGAGGACGAGGGCUUGUUCUCUCAAGGGCUGCCACCUUUGUAAGGACUUGCUCACCCAGCUGCUUCAGAGGACUGCUUCCCCAUUUCUUGUGACCACUCUACACUCACUGGGUAGAGUACCUGCAUUAAUAGCCUACGAGUCAAAUCCAUGGGACAUGCACAAUGUCUUACUGAAGAAGCACAGGAGGGCAGAGGAGGAUGCAGGUGAAUAGCUCAUGAGUGCUUGCAAGUCCUUGUCCAUGGCCAUUUCUCCCUCGGGAAAUUGUAUGCAAAAAGGGAAUGGAAGGUCUUGGAAGC